rnacentral:rRNA from 1 species
GUUACCUACGGGGGGCAGCAGUGAGGAUUAUUGGUUUAUGGGCGGGCGCCUGAACCAGCCAAGUCGCGUGAGGGAAGAAGGCCCUGCGGGUCGCAGACCUCUUUGGACGGGGAGCAAGGCCGCCGACGUGUCGGCGGAAGGAGAGUACGCGUAGAACAAGCAUCGGCUAACUCCGUGCCAGCAGCCGCGGUAAUACGGAGGAUGCGAGCGUUAUCCGGAUUUAUUGGGUUUAAAGGGUGCGCAGGCGGCACGGCAAGCCGGCGGUCAAAUCGCGGGGCUCAACCCCGCCCAGCCGUCGGAACUGC